rnacentral:rRNA from 1 species
GUGACUGCGUACCUUUUGUAUAAUGGGUCAGCGACUUAUAUUCUGUAGCAAGGUUAACCGAAUAGGGGAGCCGGAGGGAAACCGAGUCUUAACCGGGCGUUAAGUUGCAGGGUAUAGACCCGAAACCCGGUGAUCUAGCCAUGGGCAGGUUGAAGGUUGGGUAACACUAACUGGAGGACCGAACCGACUAAUGUUGAAAAAUUAGCGGAUGACCUGUGGCUGGGGGUGAAAGGCCAAUCAAACCGGGAGAUAGCUGGUUCUCCCCGAAAGCUAUUUAGGUAGCGCCUCGUGAAUUCAUCUCCGGGGGUAGAGCACUGUUUCGGCUAGGGGGCCAUCCCGGCUUACCAACCCGAUGCAAACUGCGAAUACCGGAGAAUGUUAUCACGGGAGACACACGGCGGGUGCUAACGUCCGUCGUGAAGAGGGAAACAACCCAGACCGCCAGCUAAGGUCCCAAAGUCAUGGUUAAGUGGGAAACGAUGUGGGAAGGCCCAGACAGCCAGGAUGUUGGCUUAGAAGCAGCCAUCAUUUAAAGAAAGCGUAAUAGCUCACUGGUCGAGUCGGCCUGCGCGGAAGAUGUAACGGGGCUAAACCAUGCACCGAAGCUGCGGCAGCGANCAGCCAUCAUUUAAAGAAAGCGUAAUAGCUCACUGGUCGAGUCGGCCUGCGCGGAAGAUGUAACGGGGCUAAACCAUGCACCGAAGCUGCGGCAGCGAACGUAUCACCCAAGACAACUUUACGGAGUUGACGAUUGACGGAGCGAAGCGACGUCAAAGCGUUCAUUAAAGUCGAGUUGGCUUAGGGAUACGUUCGUUGGGUAGGGGAGCGUUCUGUAAGCCUGCGAAGGUGGCCUGUGAGGGUUGCUGGAGGUAUCAGAAGUGCGAAUGCUGACAU